rnacentral:lncRNA from 1 species
CCAGUACGACCGCAUCGCCGCCGUCUGGCUCGCCGGCAUCGAGCUCCUCCGGGCGCGGCACCAUCCCUCAAGGCAUCUCCACCCGCUUCAGCAAGACGUCACCUGCUAGAGGUCACGAUUUGGAGGUCUAGGGCUCCAAUUGGUUGUCUCUUUUUUUUUNAUUUUUUUGUUUCUGGUUUCUGGGCGGAGGAUGGCGGAUUUGGAGCCUAGGGCUUUUGAUGGGCGUCGAAGCUCUGGUGAGGAAGAAGGCGGAGGUCGCGAUUUGGAGGUCUAGGGCUCCGAUUGGGUUGUCUUUUUUUUUUGGUUUUCUGGUUUCUGGGCGGAGGAUGGCGGAUUUGGAGGCUAGGGCUUUUGAUGGGCGUCGAAGCUCUGGUGAGGAAGAAGGCGGAGGUCACGAUUUGGAGGUCUAGGGCUCCGAUUAGGUUGUUCUCUUGUUUUUUUUUUUUUGGUUUCUGGUUUCUGGGCGUCGAAACUCUGGUGAGGAAGAAGGCGUAGGUGAUGCGACGGUGAGGAAGAAGGCGGAGGAAGGCAGAGGUGAUGCGACGAUGUGAAGGCGAAGUCUGGUUUGGGUGAGGGGGAGAAUUUGGGGGUGGUUCAUCGGUCGCCGGUCACC